ACUGAAUAGAUACCCGGGUAGUCCACGCCCUAAACGAUGGAUACUAGGCGUAGGAGGUAUCGACCCCUCCUGUGCCGCAGCUAAACGCACUAAGUAUCCCGCCUGGGGAGUACGGCCGCAAGGUUGAAACUCAAAUGAAUUGACGGGGGACCCGCACAAGCGGUGGAGCAUGUGGAUUAAUUCGAUACUAACCGAAGAACCUUACCCAGACUUGACAUCGAUCGCAAAGCCUAGAAAUAGGCUCCUCCCCCACAAGGGGACGUGAAGACACUUGUUGCAUGGCUGUCGUCAGCUCGUGCCGUGAGGUGUACGGUUAAGUCCGCCAACGAGCGCAACCCACGUCCUGUGUUACCAGCGAGAGAGUCGGGCACUCACAGGAGACCGCCGGUGUAAGACCGGAGGAAGGUGUGGAUGACGUCAAGUCAGCAUGGCAGUUACGUCUGGGCGUUCACACAUGCUACAAUGGGCGCAACAGA
rnacentral:rRNA from 1 species